GCGGGAAUAACUCAGUUGGUAGAGUGCAACCUUGCCAAGGUUGAUGUCGCGAGUUCGAGCCUCGUUUCCCGCUCCA
rnacentral:tRNA from 3 species